GAUCAUGGCUCAGGAUGAACGCUAGCUACAGGCUUAACACAUGCAAGUCGAGGGGAAACGACAUCGAAAGCUUGCUUUUGAUGGGCGUCGACCGGCGCACGGGUGAGUAACGCGUAUCCAACCUGACCCACACUUGGGGAUAACCUUGCGAAAGUAAGACUAAUACCCAAUGACGUCUCUUAGAAGACAUCUGAAAGGGAUUAAAGAUUUAUCGGUGAUGGAUGGGGAUGCGUCUGAUUAGCUUGUUGGCGGGGUAACGGCCCACCAAGGCAACGAUCAGUAGGGGUUCUGAGAGGAAGGUCCCCCACAUUGGAACUGAGACACGGUCCAAACUCCUACGGGAGGCAGCAGUGAGGAAUAUUGGUCAAUGGGCGAGAGCCUGAACCAGCCAAGUAGCGUGCAGGAUGACGGCCCUAUGGGUUGUAAACUGCUUUUAUAAGGGAAUAAAGUGAGCCUCGUGAGGCUUUUUGCAUGUACCUUAUGAAUAAGGACCGGCUAAUUCCGUG
rnacentral:rRNA from 1 species